CCUACGGGAGGCAGCAGUAGGGAAUCUUCCGCAAUGGACGAAAGUCUGACGGAGCAACGCCGCGUGAACGAUGAAGGCCUUCGGGUCGUAAAGUUCUGUUGUUAGGGAAGAACAAGUGCUAGUUAAAUAAGCUGGCACCUUGACGGUACCUAACCAGAAAGCCACGGCUAACUACGUGCCAGCAGCCGCGGUAAUACGUAGGUGGCAAGCGUUGUCCGGAAUUAUUGGGCGUAAAGCGCGCGCAGGCGGUUUCUUAAGUCUGAUGUGAAAGCCCCCGGGCUCAACCGGGGAGGGUCAUUGGAAACUGGGAAACUUGAGUGCAGAAGAGGAAAGUGGAAUUCCAAGUGUAGCGGUGAAAUGCGUAGAGAUUUGGAGGAACACCAGUGGCGAAGGCGACUUUCUGGUCUGUAACUGACGCUGAGGCGCGAAAGCGUGGGGAGCAAACAGGAUUAGAUACCCUGGUAGUCCACGCUGUAAACCGAUGAGUGCUAAGUGUUAGAGGGUUUCCGCCCUUUAGUGCUGAAGUUAACGCAUUAAGCACUCCGCCCGGGGUAUACGGUCGCAAGACUGAAACCUCAAAGGAAUUGACGG
rnacentral:rRNA from 1 species